GAGUUCUUAGCUCAAUAGGUAGAGCAUAUGACUUUUAAUCAUUGUGUUAGGGGUUCGAUUCCCCUAGAACUCU
rfam:Dactylellina haptotyla CBS 200.50 unplaced genomic scaffold scaffold00325, whole genome shotgun sequence.